rnacentral:antisense_RNA from 1 species
CUUCAGCGAGCCGAGCCAGAGCGGCUGUUCGGGUGCGCGGUCCUGGCCGUACGCGGCGAGCAGCGCCUCUGCCUC